AGAGUGAAAGAGAUAAAGGGGGAUAUUUAUACGCUGACAGAUAGAAACUAGACUUUUGGUGGUGAACACGAUGUAGUCUAUACAGAAUUCGAAAUAUAGUAAUGAUGUACACUUGGAAUAUAUACAAUGUUAUAAACCAAUGUUACCUCAAUAAAAAAAAAAAAUUACAGGCAGGC